rnacentral:rRNA from 1 species
GACGAACGCUGGCGGCGUGCCUAAUACAUGCAAGUUGAGCGCUGAAGGUUGGUACUUGUACCAACUGGAUGAGCAGCAAACGGGUGAGUAACGCGUGGGGAAUCUGCCUUUGAGCGGGGGACAACAUUUGGAAACGAAUGCUAAUACCGCAUAAAAACUUUAAACACAAGUUUUAAGUUUGAAAGAUGCAAUUGCAUCACUCAAAGAUGAUCCCGCGUUGUAUUAGCUAGUUGGUGAGGUAAAGGCUCACCAAGGCGAUGAUACAUAGCCGACCUGAGAGGGUGAUCGGCCACAUUGGGACUGAGACACGGCCCAAACUCCUACGGGAGGCAGCAGUAGGGAAUCUUCGGCAAUGGACGAAAGUCUGACCGAGCAACGCCGCGUGAGUGAAGAAGGUUUUCGGAUCGUAAAACUCUGUUGGUAGAGAAGAACGUUGGUGAGAGUGGAAAGCGCAUCAAGUGACGGUAACUACCCAGAAAGGGACGGCUAACUACGU